GCCCCGUUCGUCUAGCGGCCUAGGAUACCGCCCUCUCACGGCGGAGACACCGGUUCGAGUCCGGUACGGGGCACCG
rnacentral:tRNA from 2 species